rnacentral:rRNA from 1 species
UACGGAGGGGGCUAGCGUUGUUCGGAAUUACUGGGCGUAAAGCGUACGUAGGCGGCUUUGUAAGUUAGAGGUGAAAGCCCGGGGCUCAACUCCGGAAUUGCCUUUAAGACUGCAUCGCUUGAAUCAUGGAGAGGUGAGUGGAAUUCCGAGUGUAGAGGUGAAAUUCGUAGAUAUUCGGAAGAACACCAGUGGCGAAGGCGACUCACUGGACAUGUAUUGACGCUGAGGUGCGAAAGCAUGGGGAGCGAACAGG